UCGAUCGUGAAAAUAAAAAUUGAGGUUAAGUUUGAUUGUUUUCCUGCCAAGUUUGUUGAUGUUUCCGGAUGAUUUUGUUUUUAUUUUAUGGAAAUUGUGCUCAAGAAAGUGAAAAACGGCAAAGCAUUGAAUUUUUAUUCAAUGCAAUGCUACCUUUUAUUCGAGUGACGUGAAGGAAAAUCGUUCACUUUUUCCAAGGAAUUUGAUCACCCCAGAUGGACUGGAGGAAAGACAGCUCGAUGCAAGGAUUUUAAGAGGAACUCACUCAGACGCUCAGACCUCAUCAAUAUGGCCAUCACUUAAGUCGACAGGACUACAAGUUUUCUUGAAGGAAAUAGUCCAGGAUCUGAAGCUAGAAUCCGGCAGAACAGCAUUGGAAACCAUAAAUGCGACAUAAAAGCCGGGAAUCCCUAUCACGCACAAUCAGUUUAGCAGAAACUCAACUAUUCAUCUUCCUGUGCGGGGAUUCAGAGGUUCUCCUUAAGCUCAUCUGCUCACCAAACCCACAGAAGAUUUUAAAGCAGUAGCUGAACAGCAAUUUGCAGUCAAGGAUCUACCAGAGUAUAAUGGAUCGCUGAUCCUUCUUCCAUCUCACCUUUGGAUUUGGACUUUUUGCUGCAAUUUAUGGCCCGGAAUAGAUGACGAGUGGAGACAUCAAUA